GCAAAGGAUGACCAUGAUCUCAGGCUCUUGGGUAACCCCCUCCCACACCAACUCUGAGUUUGUUUAUGGCUUGUUUUGGACAAUAAGACAUUAGCAAAUGAGAUAUAAGUACAGGCUUGAGAAGUACAUGGGCACUGGGGCUUGCUUGCUGGCUGCUCUGUGGAACCUGAGACUACCACGUGAAGAAGAAGUUCGAAGUGCUAGAGGUUGAGAGAACAUGUGCAGCAAAGAUGAAGCAUCCCAGCUGAGAUUCCCCUAGAUCAAUCAGCUUGCCAACUGCCGCAAAAGCGAAUAAAGCCUUCCAAGAGCAUCCAGCUAUAAGGUGAGCCAGUCCAGACCGGAAGAAUCACCUGAUCAACUGAAAGAUAUAUGUGAAAUAAUAAAUGUUAGAGGUUUUAAAUUUUAAGAGGUA
rnacentral:lncRNA from 1 species